rnacentral:tRNA from 1 species
ACAUGGGUGGUUCAGUGGUAGAAUUCUUGCCUGCCACGCAAGAAGCCUGGGUUUGAUUCUCAGCCUACACA